rnacentral:rRNA from 1 species
AACGAACGCUGGCGGCAGGCUUAACACAUGCAAGUCGAGCGCUCACUUUCGGGUGGGAGCGGCAGACGGGUGAGUAACGCGUGGGGAUCUGCCCGAUGGUACGGGACAACCCAGGGAAACUUGGGCUAAUACCGUAUGUGCCCGUGAGGGGAAAGAUUUAUCGCCAUUGGAUGAACCCGCGUCGGAUUAGCUAGUUGGUGGGGUAACGGCCGUACCAAGGCGACGAUCCGUAGCUGGUCUGAGAGGAUGAUCAGCCACACUGGGACUGAGACACGGCCCAGACUCCUACGGGAGGCAGCAGUGGGGAAGUAUUGGACAAUGGGC